UACGUAGGGGGCAAGCGUUAUCCGGAAUUAUUGGGCGUAAAGAGUACGUAGGUGGCAACCUAAGCGCAGGGUUUAAGGCAAUGGCUCAACCAUUGUUCGCCCUGCGAACUGGGAUGCUUGAGUGCAGGAGAGGAAAGCGGAAUUCCUAGUGUAGCGGUGAAAUGCGUAGAUAUUAGGAGGAACACCAGUUGCGAAGGCGGCUCUCUGGACUGUAACUGACACUGAGGCACGAAAGCGUGGGGAGCAAACAGG
rnacentral:rRNA from 1 species